AGUGAACGCUGGCGGUAGGCCUAACACAUGCAAGUCGAACGGCAGCACAGUAAGAGCUUGCUCUUACGGGUGGCGAGUGGCGGACGGGUGAGGAAUACAUCGGAAUCUACUUUUUCGUGGGGGAUAACGUAGGGAAACUUACGCUAAUACCGCAUACGACCUACGGGUGAAAGCAGGGGAUCUUCGGACCUUGCGCGAUUGAAUGAGCCGAUGUCGGAUUAGCUAGUUGGCGGGGUAAAGGCCCACCAAGGCGACGAUCCGUAGCUGGUCUGAGAGGAUGAUCGGCCACACUGGAACUGAGACACGGUCCAGACUCCUACGGGAGGCAGCAGUGGGGAAUAUUGGACAAUGGGCGCAAGCCUGAUCCAGCCAUACCGCGUGGGUGAAGAAGGCCUUCGGGUUGUAAAGCCCUUUUGUUGGGAAAGAAAAGCAGCAGGUUAAUACCCCGCUGUUCUGACGGUACCAAAAGAAUAAGCACCGGCUAACUUCGU
rnacentral:rRNA from 1 species